rnacentral:rRNA from 1 species
UGGGGAAUAUUGGACAAUGGGCGCAAGCCUGAUCCAGCCAUGCCGCGUGAGUGAUGAAGGCCCUAGGGUUGUAAAGCUCUUUCACCGGUGAAGAUAAUGACGGUAACCGGAGAAGAAGCCCCGGCUAACUUCGUGCCAGCAGCCGCGGUAAUACGAAGGGGGCAAGCGUUAUCCGGAAUUAUUGGGCGUGAAGCGCGCGUAGGCGGUUUUUUAAGUCUGAUGUGAAAGCCCACGGCCCAACCGUGGAGGGUCAUUGGAAACUGGAAAACUUGAGUGCAGAAGAGGAAAGUGGAAUUCCAUGUGUAGCGGUGAAAUGCGCAGAGAUAUGGAGGAACACCAGUGGCGAAGGCGACUUUCUGGUCUGUAACUGACGCUGAUGUGCGAAAGCGUGGGGAUCAAACAGG